GUUUGAUAAUUGCGAAUAGCUGAGUGCGCGGGUGUUCUGUUCUCGUUUGGAAAGCAGCGUUUUGUCGUCAUACGUAUUGAUUAUACUUCAAACACAGUGUGGAUGAAAGAGUAUGUCAAAGGUGGUGGUGGAAAGCCUAAGGAGUCUGGUGUUCACAGAUUUGCUCGAUGAUGUUGAGACUUUCGCCUCAGCUGGUCCGGAGUACGCGGCCGUGUACCAGGUGCUGUGCUCGGCCGCCUCCCAGCUGCAGCA